CUCAAAACCCCGGCAAAGUUUUAAUAAAACUUUUUCAAAAAGAAAAGUCGGGGAUUUUCUAAACUCUUUCAACUCUUUUUAUAUUACCAUUAUAAAUAUGCUCUUGUUAUAUGAUGUGAUUGAAAUCUCAUGUGAUCAUACUAGGUUUAUUUUUGAUACAUGUACACCAUAUGAGUAAAGAUGAUGAUAUCAUAGUAUGUGUUACAUGUGCACCAUAUGAGCAAAGGUUAAUGAUUUCAUAGUACAUGUUUUAUAUGCACACAGUUUUACCCCCGCGGUACCAUGUCAUAGACGAUCCGGAUCAUAUAUGUGUUACGUGUUAUGUGCUAUGUGUUAUGUGGGUAGCAUGGCAACCACACGGAAGGACUAAAGUGUGGGCUACCGGCCGGGGAGGCCUUCACCUAGGGAAGUUUCCAACCCGGUUCGGCUCUCCCCUGUGACGACAGGAUGGGCUCAUAGUCGUCUUUCGAGACAAGCCAAACGUGCGCCGCUCAUGGUUAAUUAGCGGAUAUUGGACCAAGGGUGGUUAAAACUUACACGUAGCAUAAAUGAUUCAUGCACCAUUCUACAUUUGAUAUAAUUGUAUGUCAUUUAACUGUUUCUUUAUUUGCUAAAUUAUUUGAAUUCUUUUUAGAAUUCCUGAAAAGAAAAUUACACUUUUGUUA